rnacentral:rRNA from 1 species
UACGAAGGGGGCUAGCGUUGCUCGGAAUUACUGGGCGUAAAGGGCGCGUAGGCGGCACUGUUAGUCAGGCGUGAAAGUCCUGGGCUCAACCUGGGAACUGCGCUUGAUACGGCAGAGCUAGAGGAUGGAAGAGGCUCGCGGAAUUCCCAGUGUAGAGGUGAAAUUCGUAGAUAUUAGGAAGAACACCAGUGGCGAAGGCGGCUCACUGGUCCGGUACUGACGCUGAGGUGCGAAAGCGUGGGGAGCAAACAGGAUAGAAACCCUUGU